rnacentral:rRNA from 1 species
UAGACUAAGGGGAGCGGGAGAACCUCCGCUAAGGAACUAGGCAAAAUGGCCCCGUAACUUCGGGAGAAGGGGCGCUCCUGCGGGUUAAGAGCUAGCGGGAGCUGCAAAGACCAGGCUCUGGCGACUGUUUACCAAAAACACAGGACUCUGCGAACACGAUGAGUGGACGUAUAGGGUCUGACGCCUGCCCAGUGCUGGAAGGUUAAGGGGAGUGGUCAGCGCGAGCGAAGCUACGAACCGAAGCCCCAGUAAACGGCGGCCGUAACUAUAACGGUCCUAAGGUAGCGAAAUUCCUUGUCGGGCAAGUUCCGACCUGCAUGAAUGGCGUAACGAUCGGAGCACUGUCUCAGCGGAGGGCCCGGUGAAAUUCCAAUCUUGGUGAAGAUGCCAAGUUACCCGCGAUUAGACGGAAAGACCCCAUGAAGCUUUACUGUAUCCUAAUAUGGUAUAGUGGUGGAAGGCGUACAGGAUAGGUGGGAGGCAGCGAACGCAGCGCGUCAGCGCUGCGGGAGCCGACGGUGGGAUACCACCCUCCUUCCAGCGUUAUACUAACCGAGGUAGGUGGAGAGCCUAUCAGGGACAGUGUUAGGGGGGCAGUUUGACUGGGGCGGUCGCCUCCAAAAAGGUAACGGAGGCGCGCGAAGGUGGGCUCAGGCUGGUUGGGAAUCAGCUGGCGAGUGCAAGGGCAAAAGCCCGCCUGACAGUGAGAGAGACAUCUCGAGCUGAGACGAAAGUCGGUCCUAAUGACCAGGUGGUGCUGUGUGGAAAGGCCAUCGCUCAACGGACAAAAGCUACUCUGGGGAUAACAGGCUGAUACCGUCCGAGAGUCCAUAUCGACGACGGUGUUUGGCACCUCGAUGUCGGCUCAUCGCAUCCUGGGGCUGUAGUCGGUCCCAAGGGUUGGGCUGUCCGCCCAUUAAAGCGGUACGUGAGCUGGGUUCAGAACGUCGUAAGACAGUUCGGUCCCUAUCUGUCGCGGGCGCAGGAUACUUGAGAAGGCUUCUCCCCAGUACGAGAGGACCGGGAGGAGUGGACCGCUGGUGAACCAGUUGUGCUACCAAGCGCAUAAGCUGGGUAUCUAAGUCCAUGAGUGAUAAGCGCUGAAAGCAUCUAAGCGCGAAACAUGCUUCAAGAUGAGGUAUCCCAUCGAAAGAGUAAGGGCCGUUCGAGAACAGGACGUAGAUAGGCCGCAGGUGGAAGCGGCGCGAGCCGUGCAGCCGAGCGGUACUAAUCGCCCGAGGCCUUGACCUA